rnacentral:rRNA from 1 species
CGUACAUUGAGUAGCGGCGGACGGGUGAGUAAUGUCUGGGAAACUGCCUGAUGGAGGGGGAUAACUACUGGAAACGGUAGCUAAUACCGCAUAACGUCUUCGGACCAAAGAGGGGGACCUUCGGGCCUCUUGCCAUCAGAUGUGCCCAGAUGGGAUUAGCUAGUAGGUGAGGUAAUGGCUCACCUAGGCGACGAUCCCUAGCUGGUCUGAGAGGAUGACCAGCCACACUGGAACUGAGACACGGUCCAGACUCCUACGGGAGGCAGCAGUGGGGAAUAUUGCACAAUGGGCGCAAGCCUGAUGCAGCCAUGCCGCGUGUGUGAAGAAGGCCUUCGGGUUGUAAAGCACUUUCAGCGGGGAGGAAGGCGGUGAGGUUAAUAACCUCAUCGAUUGACGUUACCCGCAGAAGAAGCACCGGCUAACUCCGUGCCAGCAGCCGCGGUAAUACGGAGGGUGCAAGCGUUAAUCGGAAUGACUGGGCGUAAAGCGCACGCAGGCGGUUUGUUAAGUCAGAUGUGAAAUCCCCGAGCUUAACUUGGGAACUGCAUUUGAAACUGGCAAGCUAGAGUCUUGUAGAGGGGGGUAGAAUUCCAGGUGUAGCGGUGAAAUGCGUAGAGACUGGAGGAAUACCGGUGGCGAAGGCGGCCCCCUGGACAAAGACUGACGCUCAGGUGCGAAAGCGUGGGGAGCAAACAGAUCAGA